UAGGGUGGUUUUAGCAGAGGGGCUCACCUGUUCCCAUUCCGAACACAGAAGUUAAGCCCUCUAGCGCCGAUGGUACUGCUAACGCGGGAGAGUAGGUCGCCGCCAGUC
rnacentral:rRNA from 1 species